rnacentral:rRNA from 1 species
GACGAACCGAGCGAACGUUAUUCGGAAUCACUGGGCUUAAAGGGUGCGUAGGCGGGCUGUCAAGUCUGGGGUGAAAUCCCGCGGCUCAACCGCGGAACUGCCUCAGAUACUGAUGGCCUCGAGGAAGGUAGGGGCAUGCGGAACUGUAGGUGGAGCGGUGAAAUGCGUUGAUAUCUACAGGAACUCCGGUGGCGAAAGCGGCGUGCUGGACCUUUUCUGACGCUGAGGCACGAAAGCUAGGGGAGCAAACGGG